rnacentral:rRNA from 1 species
GACAGUGGGCAGCGAGACAGCGAUGUCGAGCUAAUCUCCAAAAGCCAUCUCAGUUCGGAUUGCACUCUGCAACUCGAGUGCAUGAAGUUGGAAUCGCUAGUAAUCGCAGAUCAGCAUGCUGCGGUGAAUACGUUCCCGGGCCUUGUACACACCGCCCGUCACACCAUGGGAGUUGGUUUUACCCGAAGGUAGUGCGCUAACCGCAAGGAGGCAGCUAACCACGGUAGGGUCAGCGACUGGGGUGAAGUCGUAACAAGGUAGCCGUAGGGGAACCUGCGGCUGGAUCACCUCCUUUCUAAG